rnacentral:lncRNA from 1 species
UCUGGUGUUACUUACAGAUACAGUUCCACCCAAAUCAGGAUUGUUUGUGCUUGUCAUGGGUCUCACAUGUCACCGGAUGACUUUGUGCGGCAUGCAAGCGAAGAGCAAACUAGUCAAGAACCUGGCAGUGGGGUUUCGUCAUUUCCAAGUAGCAAUCCGGCUGCCUCUGCCCAAAGCUGAUUUUGAAUAUAAAAUCCUGUGCUGAAGAAUGAAGUCAUCUUUCCUUGUAUCUUCAAAUGAAUGUGUGAGUUUCUGCAUAUAUCUUGAUGCAUAUGCACAUAUCCCAUUAAAUGCUGUUAGUCUAGCCUCUGAAAUUGAUAUGCUAGCAAAAUAUUUGUAAUAAAUUAUGACCAUUUCUUCAUCAAGUAUAUCAUAAGCGCUCUCUGGGACUUUCCAUUUCUCAGCAAUGGGGAGCCUAUUGAAUAGGAAAGUCCCUAUUAUUAGUGGCCAGUUAUUUUAGUGCAAGCCAAAGAGGAGUGUCGUUGCAUGUAUGUGAGAAGAGUUAUGGAGUACAAGGGCUGGCUAUUGUUUUCUGUGGAUAUCUGUUAAGCACCUUCCUGGAAGUGUUGCUACUAAUUGUUACUCCUGAAGUAACUAUAAAAUAAAAAUGAAUUCCUCCUGCUCCGUAGGUUAUUAUUCAUGUUUUAUUUGGGUCUGCAAACUGCAAAUGGUGCACAAUGUUUUUUUUAUAUGUUUCUGUUAAUAACACAGAUUGAACCUCAAUUUCGGAGAGAAUUAGCUGGGGUGCUGAUGAACAAAGAGAGUUGAACUGUUGUUUCUGUGUUUUCAGAGAAAAAAUCUCGUUACUUUAUGUUGUAGCAGUUGUUACACGUUGUUUAUAUAAUGGGCCUAAUGACAAAUCUAAUCUAUUACAUAACAGGGCUUGUGACCCGGUACAAAAUAAAUACACAUUGUAUGUACAGGUAGGAGCUUCACUUCGGACCUGAGCUCUACAUUGGGCGUGACUAUGUGGAAGUCCAACCCCCCCAAUGUGUCGACCCUCAAGCACCUUCCUGGAAGUGUUGCUACUAAUUGUUACUCCUGAAGUAACUAUAAAAUAAAAAUGAAUUCCUCCUGCUCCGUAGGUUAUU